rnacentral:rRNA from 1 species
AACGAACGCUGGCGGCAUGCCUAACACAUGCAAGUCGAACGAGACCUUCGGGUCUAGUGGCGCACGGGUGCGUAACGCGUGGGAACCUGCCCUUAGGUUCGGAAUAACUCCCCGAAAGGGGUGCUAAUACCGGAUAAUGUCUUCGGACCAAAGAUUUAUCGCCUUUGGAUGGGCCCGCGUUGGAUUAGCUAGUUGGUAGGGUAAAAGCCUACCAAGGCGACGAUCCAUAGCUGGUCUGAGAGGAUGAUCAGCCACACUGGGACUGAGACACGGCCCAGACUCCUACGGGAGGAAGCGGUGGGAAAUAUUGAACAAUGGGCGAACGCCUGACCCAUCAAUGCCGCGUGAGUGAUGAAGGCUUGGGGGUUGAAAAGCUUUUUUCCCCGGGAGGAAAAUGACAGUCCCGGGAAAAUAAGCCCCGCCUACCCCCGUG